CAAGUCGAACGAACCUACUUCGGUAGGUGAGUGGCGCACGGGUGAGUAACACGUAGAUAACGUGCCCCGAGGCGGGGGAUAACGGGCCGAAAGGCCCGCUAAUACCGCGUAAGACCACAGUGCCCUCGGGCGCAGUGGGAAAAGGUGGGGAUCUUCGGACCUGCCACCUCGGGAUCGGUCUGCGGCCCAUUAGCUAGUAGGUGGGGUAAUGGCCUACCUAGGCUAUGAUGGGUAGCUGGUCUGAGAGGACGAUCAGCCACACUGGAACUGAGACACGGUCCAGACUCC
rnacentral:rRNA from 1 species